rnacentral:rRNA from 1 species
GGAAUAUUGGACAAUGGGCGCAAGCCUGAUCCAGCCAUGCCGCGUGCAGGAUGACGGUCCUAUGGAUUGUAAACUGCUUUUAUACGAGAAGAAACAUCCCGACGUGUCGGGACUUGACGGUAUCGUAAGAAUAAGGAUCGGCUAACUCCGUGCCAGCAGCCGCGGUAAUACGGAGGAUCCAAGCGUUAUCCGGAAUCAUUGGGUUUAAAGGGUCCGUAGGCGGUUUAAUAAGUCAGUGGUGAAAGCCCAUCGCUCAACGGUGGAACGGCCAUUGAUACUGUUAGACUUGAAUUAUUAGGAAGUAACUAGAAUAUGUAGUGUAGCGGUGAAAUGCUUAGAGAUUACAUGGAAUACCAAUUGCGAAGGCAGGUUACUACUAAUUGAUUGACGCUGAUGGACGAAAGCGUGGGUAGCGAACAGGAUUAGAUACCCGUG